UUCAAUGCUAUGACGGAGAACAGUACUUGAUUCCUUUUACAUAAAAGCGAACCUAGGAUGGUGAGAGCUAGGGAUGUAAACAUCAAGGAAGGCACUCUUGAGCAUGAACGAUGAAAAGAAAGUGGCCUAUGGUGUCAUCAUAGGCAAAUAGGGUGGAACCGCGGGUUAACUCUCGUCCCUAUG
rnacentral:ncRNA from 1 species